AGAGCGAACGUUUGCGGCGGGCUUAACACAUGCAAGUCGAACGAGAAUCCCUUCGGGGAGGAAAGUGGCGCACGGGUGCGUAACACGUGGAUAACCAACCCAUUGGUUUGGGACAACACCGGGAAACUGGUGCUAAUACCAGAUGUGUCGCAGCUGUCUUCAGGCGGUUGCCGAGAAAAGGCCCGCAAGGGUCGCCAACGGACGGGUCCGCGUCCCAUCAGCUAGUUGGUGAGGUAAUGGCUCACCAAGGCAAAGACGGGUAGCUGGUCUGAGAGGAUGAUCAGCCACACUGGAACUGAGACACGGUCCAGACUCCUACGGGAGGCAGCAGUGGGGAAUAUUGCGCAAUGGGCGAAAGCCUGACGCAGCCACGCCGCGUGAGCGAUGAAGGUCUUCGGAUCGUAAAGCUCUGUGGGGGGAGAAGAAGAAAGCCGGUGAAGAGCCGGCCCUGACGGUAUCCCCUUAGCAAGCACCGGCUAACUCCGUG
rnacentral:rRNA from 1 species